rnacentral:rRNA from 1 species
AUUGAACGCUGGCGGCAUGCUUUACACAUGCAAGUCGAACGGCAGCGCGGGCUUCGGCCUGGCGGCGAGUGGCGAACGGGUGAGUAAUGCAUCGGAACGUGCCCAGUAGUGGGGGAUAGCCCGGCGAAAGCCGGAUUAAUACCGCAUACGACCUGAGGGUGUAAGCGGGGGACCGAAAGGCCUCGCGCUAUUGGAGCGGCCGAUGUCGGAUUAGCUAGUUGGUGGGGUAAAGGCUUACCAAGGCGACGAUCCGUAGCUGGUCUGAGAGGACGACCAGCCACACUGGGACUGAGACACGGCCCAGACUCCUACGGGAGGCAGCAGUGGGGAAUUUUGGACAAUGGGGGCAACCCUGAUCCAGCCAUGCCGCGUGCGUGAAGAAGGCCUUCGGGUUGUAAACCGCUUUUGUUCGGGAAGAAAUCCUCUGGGCUAAUACCCCGGGGGGAUGACGGUACCGGAAGAAUAAGCACCGGCUAACUACGUG